rnacentral:sRNA from 1 species
GACUUCCCAGAAGCUCCUUUAUGGAGGUUAAACCGUCCCAGUUGCCUUUGGCAAGGGUUUGUAUUGGUAGUUAGGAAUACAUAUUUAAUUCUAAUAUUGUAUUUACUAUGUGUUGUAAAGCUGGACCUGGGAACAAUAUACCAAUAUG